rnacentral:rRNA from 1 species
AGCAGCCGCGGUAAUUCCAGCUCCAAUAGCGUAUAUUAAAGUUGUUGCAGUUAAAAGCUCGUAGUUGAAUUUUGGGUCUGGCCGGGCGGUCCGCCCUCUGGGUGAGCACUGUUUCGACGUCGGAUCUAUCCUUCUGGUGAGUCGGCAUGUCCUUUAUUGGGUGCGUCGGGAACCGAGGACCAUUACCUUGAAAAAAUUAGAGUGUUCAAAGCAGGCGUAUGCUCGAAUACAUUAGCAUGGAAUAAUGAAAUAGGACGCGUGGUGCUAUUUUGUUGGUUUCUAGAACCGCCGUAAUGAUUAAUAGGGAUAGUUGGGGCAUGCAGUAUUCAAUUGUCAGAGGUGAAAUUCUUGGAUUUAUUGAAGACUAACUUCUGCGAAAGCAUUUGCCAAGGAUGUUUUCAUUAAUCAAGAACGAAAGUUAGGGGAUCGAAGACGAUCAGAUACCGUCGUAGUCUUAACCAUAAACUAUGCCGACUAGGAAUCGGGCGAUGUUAUUCUCAUGACUCGUCCGGCGCCUUAU